AAUAUGGGACAAUGGGGGCAACCUUGAUCCAGCCAUGCCGCGUGUUUGAAGAAGGUCNNNGGAUUNUCAAGCCUUUUAAGUUGNGAGNAAGGGCUUUAGGCUAAUACCCUGAAGUUUUGACGUUACCAACAGAAUAAGCAUCGGCACACUUCGUGCCAGCAGCCGCGGUAAUACGAAGAGUGCAAGCGUUAAUCGGAAUUACUGGGCGUAAAGCGCGCGUAGGUGGGUCGUUAAGUUGGAAGUGAAAGACCCGGGCUUAACCUGGGAAUUGCUUUCAAAACUGACGAGCUAGAGUACGGUAGAGGGUAGUGGAAUUUCCUGUGUGGCGGUGAAAUGCGUAGAUAUAGGAAGGAACAUCAGUGGCGAAGGCGACUACCUGGACUGAUACUGACACUGAGGUGCGAAAGCGUGGGGAGCAAA
rnacentral:rRNA from 1 species